rnacentral:lncRNA from 1 species
AGGUAAGAAAAUAAUUAUGAUUCACAAUUAAACAAAUUAUGGUCAUUCAGUCUUUAAUUGUAAUGAAAAAUCCUUAUCAACAGGUUAUGUGUAUAUCAUAGGUGUAUUUUCAUUGCGAAGGUUUCUUAGGUAAGUACUUAUGUACAUACAUAAAUAUCCUUUUCUUUGAUAUCAGUGGUUUGCAUUCAGUAAAGUAUAUUCAUGACACAGUUACCUUGAAUAUUACAGCAGGUUAGUUAAGAUCAAAAAUGAAAAAAUAAACAAUGACUAAUCCAAUAAAAUCAACGAUUGUUUUAAAACCAAAGGAUGAACACAUGCAAAAAAUACAUAUAAAAAAAAUAAUUGCAAUAUAGAGUUCAUAAAUGUUUUAUCUUCUCUUUUUUACAAGUUAUUCAUUUGAUACAAGCAACCCAACACCUUUCAGUUUUUUCGCAAUAAACUUGAUCUUUCCAUGAUUAAAAAAGACCUGAUUAACUCACAGUGAGUUAAUAUCCUACGCUCUAGUUUCCUCCUUCACAUCAAACAUGGAAGAACAUCAGUAGCACUAACGACACUUAUCUGACAGCAGUUUUCAGUGCAAUAGGCUUCGUUCUAACAUCUACACGAGACUCAGAGUGACAUACUGUAAAAUUAGCAGCUGUAUUUGCUGUACAAGGACACGAUAAUGGCUGCCAAACUCAACGGCAGUUGUCAAUUUAGAGGGAAACCUGACGCUGAGCUGCCGUCUUGACUUCAAAGUGGAGCUCACAUAGGCGGAGGCCCCUUGGUGUAGCUGAGCAUUGGGUGUAAGGAGUGGGUGAAAUUGUUGAGUUGGGCACAGCUGAGCAUUGGGUGUAAGGAGUGGGUGAAAUUGUUGAGUUGGGCACAGCUGCAGUGGUCCUCAGACGUAGGCACAAGACAGGCCACCACCAGCACCAGCAGCAGGAAGAUCUGCAGCGGGAGUGCGGCCCAGAGGACACGUUUCAGGAAGGUUUUGUACCAGGAUGGUGGUUCUUCCUCGUCAGAAUGGGAGGAACCGGAUCCAGCGGCGUUGCGAGACCUGCUAUACAUGAGACGGCACAAGAGGUAGAAAUGCUCAGAUGUAAAACUAGGUGAAUGAGAGAAAUUACACUGGUUAUCUAGCUAUUCCUAAUGGUAGCUAAAGAAAUGGGCUUUGUAGAUUCACAAAAGACUCUUAAAAUUAAAGGUUCACUGGAUAUUGGGCAUUGAUGAUUCCAUGAAGAACCUUUAAAGCUGCAGUCCGUAACUUUUUUGUGUUCAAAAUGAACAAAAUUUAUAUAAUAAGCGAGUACACCAUGAAUCCAUUUUCCAAACCGUGUUUUUGGUUUAUCCUGAAUCAUUACGGUACACCUAUAAUAAAUGUUUAUAUUCUGACUAUUUUAGACUGGUUCGGGUAGGUUGCGGAGUAGCCUAGUACCUGUGUGAUUCGUCAUAGACAUAAACAGAGUGUAACGCCCCUGUGGACUGUUUAUUGUGGUUUCUUCCCCUUUUGUUGGUUUAGCCCGUUCAAUCAUUAGUUAAUUAUCCUCAGUGUGCUCACCUGUCUGCCCCUCGUUAUCUGGCCUAUAAGUUCCUGUCUCUUGUAUUGUCGGUUAUUGUGAAUGUUACCCCGAGUGUGUGUGGCUCAUCUACCCGAAUCUGCCUGGUUGUCGCUACAUUAAAUAUCUUUAUUUGAAUCCUUGUCGUCCUCGUCAUCCUGCCUGCCUCCACACACCGUGACAGAAUAACCAACCAAAAAAGUAAAGUAUAGCGGCGUCUUUCCCCUCGUUUGUUUUCCCGGUUUUU